AUGCAUCAUGCAUCCUUGUUCAUUACCGCAUUUUGCCACUUGGAGUUCAACAUUAUCAAUAAUUGCUGCCAAUGGUUUGCCAGUAUCCCCUGAGCUUGAGAAGGCGCAACCGAGCAAGGAAGAACUUUCAGCCCUUGAAUUCAAAUUGUCCCUGUACUGAUGAUAAUAAGAGUGAUCGAAACAAGAGCAUGAUGACAAGGUGUAUAUGUCUGGACUCUGGACUCUAGACCAUUUGAGAUUGCUAAUAUGUACCACUGAUGAGGGGAACGAUGGUUUUCCUGUUGUGUAUAUGUAGAAGUAAGAGCAGAUGAAUACCAGGGGCCAAAAAUUAUAAGACAGAGUGAGAAUAUCUCUUACUGGUGGGAAUGAAAUAUUCCAAGACCACAAAACUUGGUGAGUGCACGCACCACUGAAAAAAAAAAGGGGCUUAAUGUGAAGACCUUUUGCCUUUUCAUUCUUCCCCUUUUUAUGUUGCUUAAGGGGAAAAGAGUCAACAACUUCUCAGCUUUUUCCUGCUAAUGAAGAAACAUGAAGCAAAGUGGAUAUCCAUAUUUUGAAGUAAACAUUUGUCAUCUCUCUUGCUUGUGGUAAAUCUUAUAUGAAAUAAUUAUGCAAGUGUGAUGUGGAAAAUGUUUGAAUUGAUGCUUCGCAUUUGGUCCA